rnacentral:rRNA from 1 species
CAAGACAUGAAGUUAGGUCAGCAAACCCGCUGAAUUUAAGCAUAUAAGUAAGCGGAGGAUAAGAAACUAAAUAGGAUUCCCUCAGUAAUGGCGAAUGAACAGGGAUAAGCUCAGCUUGGAAAUUGGGCCCUCUGGGCUUGAAUUGUAGUCUUUCGAUGGCAUUGCCAGCGGAGGCGCAGAUGUAAGCCUCUUGGAAAAGAGCAUCAAUGAGGGUGAGAGUCCCGUUUGUCAUCUGCAGUCCUCUGUUUACGGUGUGCUUUCUAAGAGUCACGUUCCUUGGGACUGGAGCGCAAAUUGGGUGGUAAAUUUCAUCUAAAGCUAAAUAUUGGUUCGAGACCGAUAGCAAACAAGUACCAUGAGGGAAAGGUGAAAAGGACUUUGAAAAGAGAGUUAAAAGUGCCUGAAAUUGCUGAAAGGGAAGCGAAUGGAACCAGUCUUCUUGGUGAGAUUGUUGUGCGCUAUUGUGAUUGCUUUCUGCUUCAACGCAAGUGUUGCAGUGGGUUUUGAGCAUGACGCGCACUUUGUUUCUCACCUCGUGUGUCAACGUCGGUUCAGAUUUGAGGAAAACUCUAGGGACAUGGGUAAUUGCUCGCGAGUGAUUGAAUGUGCCUGGUAGAACUCAUGUCUAAACUGAUUUCCGCAUGUCUGGUCGCAGUGUUCUCAUUACCUGCGUCUGGGUUCGUGGCUUGUAGCUUCUGUUACUCGUCGCGGGCUCUGGGCCUGGUCGUGGAGCAUCUCCCUGACAUUAGUACGAUGACAAAAUGGUUUCAUUCGACCCGUCUUGAAACACGGACCAAGGAGUCUAACAUAUGUGCAAGUUCACGGGUGUUAAACCUGAUUGCGCAAUGAAAGUGACUGCUGGGAUAUUUGCACCAGCAACCGACCAAUCAAUUGUGAGAGGUUUGAGUAUGAGCAUAUCUGUUAGGACCCGAAAGAUGGUGAACUAUGCGUGAGAAGGGUGAAGUCAGG